rfam:Candidatus Hamiltonella defensa 5AT (Acyrthosiphon pisum) plasmid pHD5AT, complete sequence.
AACCCCCUGUUCCUGCGACUAACUUUGGCGGGUUAUAACAGGAUUGAGGGGGCCAACAUCUGGCUUGGUGCCAGUAAGGAUUAUAGCAAGUGCUCAAUCUCAAUCAAGACUUUUUUAACUCCGCC